rnacentral:rRNA from 1 species
UACGUAGGGUGCAAGCGUUGUUCGGAAUUACUGGGCGUAAAGGGCGCGUAGGCGGCCUGCUAAGUCGAACGUGAAAUCCCUGGGCUCAACCCAGGAACUGCGUCCGACACUGGCAGGCUUGAAUCCGGGAGAGGGAUGCGGAAUUCCAGGUGUAGCGGUGAAAUUCGUAGAUAUCGGGAGGAACACCGGUGGCGAAGGCGGCGACCUGGGUAGAUACUGACGCUGAGGUGCGAAAGCGUGGGGAGCAAACAGG